UACGUAGGGUCCAAGCGUUGUCCGGAUUUAUUGGGCGUAAAGAGCUCGUAGGCGGUCUGUCGCGUCGGCUGUGAAAACCCGAGGCUCAACCUCGGGCCUGCAGUCGAUACGGGCAAACUAGAGUACUGCAGGGGAGACUGGAAUUCCUGGUGUAGCGGUGAAAUGCGCAGAUAUCAGGAGGAACACCGGUGGCGAAGGCGGGUCUCUGGGCAGUAACUGACGCUGAGGAGCGAAAGCGUGGGGAGCGAACAGG
rnacentral:rRNA from 1 species